AGAGUUUGAUCCUGGCUCAGAUUGAACGCUGGCGGCAUGCUUUACACAUGCAAGUCGAACGGGGUGAGGGGGCAACUCCUCAUUCAGUGGCGAACGGGUGAGUAAUGCAUCGGAACGUACCCCGUAGUGGGGGAUAACCCGGCGAAAGCCGGGCUAAUACCGCAUAUGCUCUACGGAGGAAAGUGGGGGACCCGCAAGGGCCUCACGCUAUGGGAGCGGCCGAUGUCCGAUUAGCUUGUUGGUGGGGUAAUGGCCUACCAAGGCGACGAUCGGUAGCUGGUCUGAGAGGAUGAUCAGCCACACUGGGACUGAGACACGGCCCAGACUCCUACGGGAGGCAGCAGUGGGGAAUUUUGGACAAUGGGCGCAAGCCUGAUCCAGCCAUGCCGCGUGCGGGAAGAAGGCCUUCGGGUUGUAAACCGCUUUUAGCCGGAAAGAAAAGGCACGGGUGAAUACCCCGUGUUCUUGACGGUACCGGCGGAAUAAGCACCGGCUAACUACGUGCCAGCAGCCGCGGUAAUACGUAGGGUGCGAGCGUUAAUCGGAAUUACUGGGCGUAAAGCGUGCGCAGGCGGUCCGCUGUGUCCUGUGUGAAAGCCCCGGGCUCAACCUGGGAAUGGCAUGGGAAACUGGCGGGCUGGAGUGUGGCAGAGGGGGGUGGAAUUCCGCGUGUAGCAGUGAAAUGCGUAGAGAUGCGGAGGAACACCGAUGGCGAAGGUAGCCCCCUGGGCCAACACUGACGCUCAGGCACGAAAGCGUGGGGGAGCAAACAGGAUUAGAUACCCUGGUAGUCCACGCCC
rnacentral:rRNA from 1 species